AUUGAGGUCUAUCCCGAUGGGUCUUUUUCUGUAGACCUACAUCUUGGAAAUACCUCAGAAUAAAUAUGUAGCUUUCUUUAUUCACAGAACUAUGUGUUAGAUCUGUGGAAAGCAACUACAAGACAGCU